rnacentral:rRNA from 1 species
GACUCGGCGAAAUUGCAGUACGAGUAAAGAUGCUCGUUACGCGCGGCAGGACGAAAAGACCCCGGGACCUUCACUAUAGCUUGGUAUUGGUGUUCGGUUCGGUUUGUGUAGGAUAGGUGGGAGACUGUGAAGUGGGCACGCCAGUGUUCAUGGAGUCGUUGUUGAAAUACCACUCUGAUCGUAUUGGACUUCUAACCUCGGACCCUGAUCGGGUUCAGGGACAGUGCCUGGUGGGUAGUUUAACUGGGGCGGUUGCCUCCCAAAAUGUAACGGAGGCGCCCAAAGGUUCCCUCAG